rnacentral:rRNA from 1 species
GAUGAACGCUGGCGGCGUGCCUAAUACAUGCAAGUCGAGCGAACAGAUAAGGAGCUUGCUCCUUUGACGUUAGCGGCGGACGGGUGAGUAACACGUGGAUAACCUACUUAUAAUACGGGGAUAACUCCGGGAAACCGGGGCUAAUGCCGCAUAACAUUUAGAACCGCAUGGUUCAAAAGUGAAAGAUGGCUUUGCUAUCACUUAUAGAUGGACCCGCGCCGUAUUAGCUAGUUGGUAAGGUAACGGCUUACCAAGGCAACGAUACGUAGCCGACCUGAGAGGGUGAUCGGCCACACUGGAACUGAGACACGGUCCAGACUCCUACGGGAGGCAGCAGUAGGGAAUCUUCCGCAAUGGGCGCAAGCCUGACGGAGCAACGCCGCGUGAGUGAUGAAGGUCUUCGGAUCGUAAAACUCUGUUAUUAGGGAAGAACAAAUGUGUAAGUAACUGUGCACGUCUUGACGGUACCUAAUCAGAAAGCCACGGCUAACUACGUG